rnacentral:rRNA from 1 species
UGAGGAAUAUUGGACAAUGGAGGCAACUCUGAUCCAGCCAUGCCGCGUGCAGGAAGACUGCCCUAUGGGUUGUAAACUGCUUUUAUACAGGAAGAAACCUACUUACGUGUAAGUAGCUGACGGUACUGUAAGAAUAAGGAUCGGCUAACUCC